rnacentral:tRNA from 1 species
GCCUGGGUGGCUCAGUCGGUUGAGCGUCCGACUUCGGCUCGGAUUGUGAUCUCGCAGUUCGUGAGUUUGAGCCCCACAUCAGGCU